rnacentral:rRNA from 1 species
UGUAGUUUCAAUGAUGAGGCAUAUAUGUCGACUAUGGGUGUUGGCUCCAACAAUUGGUCUCAAACCAAUGAAGUUGAUGAAGACGAAUAUGAAGUGGAUGAUGAGGGUGAGGGUUUGAUCGAUGCACCAAAAGGAAGGGCUUCCAACUACACCGUCGACGAAGACGUCUUGCUUUGCAACACAUGGGCGAAUGUGUCUAUAGAUGCCACCAUUGGAAAGGACCAAACUAGAGAUACAUAUUGGCUUCGGAUGAAGGAGUUCUUUGACACACACAACAAGAGUGGAAUUGAGCGCACCGAAAGAUCUCUUCGCUCCCGGUGGUCGACGAUCAAUAAAGAUUGUCAAAAGUGA